UGGGGAAUAUUGGGCAAUGGGCGGCAAGCCUGACCCAGCAACGCCGCGUGAAGGAAGAAGGCUUUCGGGUUGUAAACUUCUUUUCUCAGGGACGAAGCAAGUGACGUAC
rnacentral:rRNA from 1 species